AUUGAACGCUGGCGGCAGGCCUAACACAUGCAAGUCGAGCGGAGCGGCGGACGGGGGAGUAAUGCCUAGGUAUCCGCCUGGUAGUGGGGGAGCACGUACGGCAAGGGGCGCUAACAACGCCUACUUGCAGACGGGCGUAGGUCGGAUUGGUUAGUUGGUGGGGUAAGGGCCUACCAAGGCGACGAUCGGUAGCUGGUCUGAGAGGAUGAUCAGUCACACUGGAACUGAGACACGGUCCAGACUCCUACGGGAGGCAGCAGUGGGGAAUAUUGCACAAUGGGCGAAAGCCUGAUCCAGCCAUGCCGCGUUUGUGAAGAAGGUCUUCGGAUUGUAAAGCACUUUAAGUUGGGAGGCGUUACCAACAGAAUAAGCACCGGCUAACUUCGUGCCAGCAGCCGCGGUAAUUC
rnacentral:rRNA from 1 species